rnacentral:tRNA from 1 species
AAGGAUUUAAGUUAAGCAACCAAACUAAUAACCUUCAAAGUUAUAAAUAGACUAUCUCUAAGCCUUA